GGGAAUGUAACUUAGUGGUAGAGUGCUUGCCUUGCAUGCAUGAAUCCUUGGGUU
rnacentral:tRNA from 1 species